GACCACUGCACACCAUUCACAUAUUGAUAAGACUGCUGAAUCCUGGCGUUUAAACCUUGAGAUAACAUGCAAUUCAACACAAUAUGAAGCACUGAAACAGAAUUAUCUCAUAGAAAAAACAAGGAGGAAAGUAAAGCAUUCAUUAUACAACUCCAGAACUCCUUUGUUGUUGUGCCCCUCUGAAACAACUUGCAUGGCCAGAUUCAUCAACAUUUCCUGCCAUUUCCCUCAUGACACUGACAAAGAUGAUGAUAAUAUAAGAAAAGAAAACUGCAUUCAAGAAAGAGGAAGCAGUAAGGCACGAUGGAGGCCCCAUGCCUGAGUAUGACUAGGAAUCCCCAAAUCACUAAAUCCGCCCCUGGAUACACUUCCACUAGAAGAUGUUCUCUUGACUGAAGAGUGUAUUUUUGUGUCGUCCACAGUGAGUGUGCAUUCUAAUUUAUGCAGCUGUCUUGGCCAUGAAAGCUGCAGCAUCUAGCAUGGAAAAGCAGCUGGUAAUUCACUCACUUGAUUCCGCUCAGGCCUUCAGCUGCUCUGUGGCUUUCAGUUCCUUUAGACGUAUCUCAGAGCUGACUUGUGGUCGAGUGUUUUCUGUCUGUGCAUGUGCUUCAUUACUGUGUGUCAUUAUUUGAUAGGCGCAGUACACGUUAUACGGCUCCCUGUAUGGAAAUGAAAGGGAAAUUAAUAAGAGAUGUUCAUUCAUGAGGGCUAUUCGUCUCAUCUGGAGGCAUGGUAAAGCCACUUCUGUGCAAAUGUGAAUAUUACAGAGCCAACUCACCAUUAUGUAUUUAAUCCAAGUCCAACCAAAAAAAACAAAAAACAUCCCUUUUUACAGUAAAAAAUUUUGUCAAAGUGAUUUUUAAAUUCAUUGUAAAUAUUGUUCAUUAAAAGGGGCUGUAAGCAAUAUCAGCAUUUUUGCUGACUUCCUGUCCGUUCUUGCAGAGUAGCACUUCCCUCCCUCCUCUACACAUCUCCAGUCCUCCCCCUCCUUCAACACAGGAACGUGCAGCAGUGUUCGCUGCGGCACCUUACAGUAUUAGACACAGCAGCCUUGGAGAGCAGUGGGUCAUCUACCUCUAACCAGAAAAGGGAGAGCUGCAGGCCGGGGCAGAGGCAGAGGAGGACCAGGUCCUGGCCGUAGUAGAGGGAGAGGCAGAGGCGCAUUCGGCCUGUCUGUGGAGGAAGCACUACGUGUGCAAGGCAACUGGAGUGUUUUUCCAGAUCCUCCCAGCCGAUACAUAGGCUUUCCCAAUACUGGAUCACUUCUGGUUUCUUCUUCACACUGCUGUCUUCCACUGCUUUGUCAUCAUGCAUGGGGCUCAGGAGGACAACAGCCUUUCCCUUCUUCGGCACAUAGCUCACGAUGGUCGUGUUGCCACUGAAUCCAAAUUCUGAGCUAUGCAUCUCCCUCGAUUUGGAUGGCUUCAUUAAAGUCUGCCUUGUUCUGGCAGAGUUCCCACAAUGGUCAGGUUCUUCUCAAGGAGCUUCUCAGCCAGAGGGACACUGGUGAAGAUGUUGUCCAUUGUGAUGUUGCGACCUAUGGUUAAAAACAAAAACAAACAAAAAAACGAAUGGUCAAUUUACUCAACAUGUAAUUCUCUAAAUUAAAUCUAACACUAUAAUAAACUGAAUGCAGGCAAGUUUUUUCCUUUAUUAUAUACACUAUAUGCUCUGUGGUACUGAUAUGAGACAAUGGGUUAUCUUGUUUAUUAGAGAUCUGCAGUGUGUGCAAUACACUAGACACCAAAACUCUCACGAAUACAUGCGAGCUGCGUGUGGCAGCUAGAGCAGAUGGGGCCCAUUGUCCAUCCGAUGUUAUUCCAGCUACACCUUUGUGUGACCUUCAAACCCCAGUCUUACUUUUAAUAUCAUAGGCUGAUAGCCAUGCAAGCGCAGCUGUGCAUUGGCAGUGAGCCUCAGUCUAUGAACUUAACUUCUUAGGCUGUGGCUCAGAGGUAGAGCAGGUCGUCCUCUAAUAGAAAGGUCGGCGGUUCAAACCCGGCUUCCCCCAGCCCACAUGCCGAAGUGUUCUUGUCCUUCUUCUUGGGCAAGAUACUGAUCUGCAAAUUACUCCAGAGGGCUGUACCUUGGGUGUGUGACUGAAUUUGUUUCUUUGUACUGAUGAGCAGUUGGUACCUGCCAUCAGUGUGUGAACGGGGUGAAUGUGAUAUGUAGUGUGAAGUGUUUUGAGUGGUCGGAAGACUAGAAAGGCACUAUACAAGUACAAUGUAGAAGCUCCAGAUGUUGCUGUGACACUGGCCAGGUUGCUGUACCUGUACCUUUUUAUAGACAGGAGCUGAAGAAUUGAGAUGUUUAUAUUAUGGUUGGUGGUGAUUCUGAAAAAUGCAGUAGUAACUGUGUUGUUGUCUGUACAAAAUAUACUAGCAUUUAUUUUUUCAAAUGAA